GUGGGGGAUAUUGCACAAUGGAGGAAACUCUGAUGCAGCGACGCCGCGUGAGUGAAGAAGUAUUUCGGUAUGUAAAGCUCUAUCAGCAGGGAAGAAAGACUCGUAAGAGAGAUGACGGUACCUGACUAAGAAGCCCCGGCUAACUACGUGCCAGCAGCCGCGGUAAUACGUAGGGGGCAAGCGUUAUCCGGAUUUACUGGGUGUAAAGGGAGCGCAGACGGCUUAGCAAGUCUGAAGUGAAACCCCACGGCUCAACCGUGGGCUUGCUUUGGAAACUGUUAAGCUAGAGUACUGGAGAGGUAAGCGGAAUUCCUAGUGUAGCGGUGAAAUGCGUAGAUAUUAGGAGGAACAUCGGUGGCGAAGGCGGCUUACUGGACAGCAACUGACGUUGAGGCUCGAAGGCGUGGGGAGCAAACAGG
rnacentral:rRNA from 1 species